GCACUAAUAUUACUUUUAUUUUUCUAAUUUGUUCUUUUUAAUUCUAGAUACUUCUUUAUACAAAUUAAUAUUUUCUAAAAUCAAGUUUAUAUUUCAACAAAGGAUUGGAAGAAUCUCUAACUUCUCUCCAUUGUUCCUUUCGACAAUUGUUUUGUUUGUUUUUUUUAUUUUUAUUUUUUUUUUCCUUUGAAGCACAACAUGGGAGGCACAAAAUGAGAUUCAAAUAAUCAUGGAGAACAAUAAGAUGAGUAAUUUUAAUGGGAGAAGAAGCAUAGAUGAGGAGCGUGAGACCAGAAUCAGGAUAUCACACAUAUAGUGACGAUCAAUACACGCUAAGGAAGAUAUCAAUGAGGCAUCUUCUUGGAAGCCUAAUUUAUGCCACUUCAAAAGCUUCUAAUAACUUCAAGACAAAGGGUUUACAUAGAGAAGGGGUAAAACAAUCAGACGCGUAUUGGCACAUGUUUGCCAUAGUUGUUUUAAAUUCUACUGAUAUUUGAAAGCAUAAGUUAUUUUUGUUGAUUUAGUCGUAAGGUUCCAUUGAUUCUUCUAAAAGAAAUAUAUAUGCAUAUCAAUUGUAAAGUAGUAUCUAAUCAUAUGUUAUGGUCAUGGUUAAAUCUUUUCUCAAAUAUAUGUUGAGCUAUAAUCUUUAUUGUGUAUUAGGUCAAUUAUAUUUGGAAAAUUAUAUUUUUUGGUUGUUAGGAUGAUUAUAAGUUAUAACAUGGGCUUUAUUUAAUUUUCCUUUUUAAAAAAUCAUA